UCUUUGCUAGUAUAUCGGUUAGUACACGCGCCUGUCAUCGCUAACAAGUGAUCCAUCCGCGCGAAAGCUGGGUUCGACUCCCAGGCAGAGAG